CCCUUAGAUGUUCUGGGCCGCACGCGUGCUACACUGAGUGGAUCAGCGGGUCAGGUUGCGCGAAAGCGUUUCCUAAUCUUUAAAUCCGCUCGUGAUGGGGAUUGACGGUUGCAAUUUUCUGUCAUGAACGAGGAAUACCUUGUAAGCGCGGGUCAUCAUCCCGCGCUGAAUACGUCCCUGCCCUUUGUACACACCGCCCGUCGCUCCUACCGAUUGAGUGGUCCGGUGAGGCUUUGGGAUCUGAGCGGAAAGAGCGUUUCGCUCUUUCUGCUCGGAAAACUCAGUCGAACCUUAUCAUUUAGAGGAAGGAGAAGUCGUAACA
rnacentral:rRNA from 1 species